rnacentral:rRNA from 1 species
GCGGGGCAACCCUGGCGGCGAGCGGCGAACGGGUGAGUAACAUAUCGGAACGUACCCAGUCGUGGGGGAUAACUAUCCGAAAGGAUAGCUAAUACCGCAUACGUCCUGAGGGAGAAAGCGGGGGACCGCAAGGCCUCGCGCGAUUGGAGCGGCCGAUAUCGGAUUAGCUAGUUGGUGAGGUAAAGGCUCACCAAGGCGACGAUCCGUAGCUGGUCUGAGAGGACGACCAGCCACACUGGAACUGAGACUCGGUCCAGACUCCUACGGGAGGCAGCAGUGGGGAAUUUUGGACAAUGGGGGCAACCCUGAUCCAGCCAUGCCGCGUGAGUGAAGAAGGCCUUCGGGUUGUAAAGCUCUUUCGUCCGGGAAGAAAUCGCGCAGCUAAUACCUGGUGUGGAUGACGGUA